rnacentral:rRNA from 1 species
UCAAGGCCGAGAGCUGAUGACGAGUGCUCAUUAGAGCGCGAAGUGGUUGAUGCCAUGCUUCCAAGAAAAGCUCCUAAGCUUCAGAUAACUGGGAACCGUACCCCAAACCGACACAGGUGGUUAGGUAGAGAAUACCAAGGCGCUUGAGAGAACUCGGGUGAAGGAACUAGGCAAAAUGGCACCGUAACUUCGGGAGAAGGUGCGCCGGUGAGGGUGAAGCACUUGCUGCGUAAGCCCACGCCGGUCGAAGAUACCAGGCCGCUGCGACUGUUUAUUAAAAACACAGCACUCUGCAAACACGAAAGUGGACGUAUAGGGUGUGACGCCUGCCCGGUGCCGGAAGGUUAAUUGAUGGGGUUAGCGCAAGCGAAGCUCUUGAUCGAAGCCCCGGUAAACGGCGGCCGUAACUAUAACGGUCCUAAGGUAGCGAAAUUCCUUGUCGGGUAAGUUCCGACCUGCACGAAUGGCGUAACGAUGGCGGCGCUGUCUCCACCCGAGACUCAGUGAAAUUGAAAUCGCUGUGAAGAUGCAGUGUAUCCGCGGCUAGACGGAAAGACCCCGUGAACCUUUACUAUAGCUUUGCACUGGACUUUGAGCUUGCUUGUGUAGGAUAGGUGGGAGGCUUUGAAGUGGGGACGCCAGUUCUCAUGGAGCCAUCCUUGAAAUACCACCCUGGCAACCUUGAGGUUCUAACUCAGGUCCGUUAUCCGGAUCGAGGACAGUGUAUGGUGGGUAGUUUGACUGGGGCGGUCUCCUCCCAAAGAGUAACGGAGGAGUACGAAGGUGCGCUCAGACCGGUCGGAAAUCGGUCGUAGAGUAUAAAGGCAAAAGCGCGCUUGACUGCGAGACAAACACGUCGAGCAGGUACGAAAGUAGGUCUUAGUGAUCCGGUGGUUCUGUAUGGAAGGGCCAUCGCUCAACGGAUAAAAGGUACUCCGGGGAUAACAGGCUGAUACCGCCCAAGAGUUCAUAUCGACGGCGGUGUUUGGCACCUCGAUGUCGGCUCAUCACAUCCUGGGGCUGAAGCCGGUCCCAAGGGUAUGGCUGUUCGCCAUUUAAAGUGGUACGCGAGCUGGGUUUAGAACGUCGUGAGACAGUUCGGUCCCUAUCUGCCGUGGACGUUUGAGAUUUGAGAGGGGCUGCUCCUAGUACGAGAGGACCGGAGUGGACGAACCUCUGGUGUUCCGGUUGUCACGCCAGUGGCAUUGCCGGGUAGCUAUGUUCGGAAGAGAUAACCGCUGAAAGCAUCUAAGCGGGAAACUUGCCUCAAGAUGAGAUCUCACUGGGAUCUUGAAUCCCCUGAAGGGCCGUCGAAGACUACGACGUUGAUAGGUUGGGUGUGUAAGCGCUGUGAGGCGUUGAGCUAACCAAUACUAAUUGCCCGUGAGGCUUGACCAUAUAACACCCAAGCA